rnacentral:rRNA from 1 species
AUUGAACGCUGGCGGCAUGCCUUACACAUGCAAGUCGAACGGUAACAGGUCUUCGGAUGCUGACGAGUGGCGAACGGGUGAGUAAUGCAUCGGAACGUGCCCAGUAGUGGGGGAUAGCCCGGCGAAAGCCGGAUUAAUACCGCAUACGACCUGAGGGUGAAAGGGGGGGAUCGCAAGACCUCUCGCUAUUGGAGCGGCCGAUGUCAGAUUAGCUAGUUGGUGGGGUAAAGGCCUACCAAGGCAACGAUCUGUAGUUGGUCUGAGAGGACGACCAGCCACACUGGGACUGAGACACGGCCAAGAGGCCUACGGGAGGCAGCAGUGGGGAAUUUUGGACAAUGGGCGCAAGCCUGAUCCAGCAAUGCCGCGUGCAGGAAGAAGGCCUUCGGGUUGUAAACUGCUUUUGUCAGGGAAGAAAUCUUCUGGGUUAAUACCUCGGGAGGAUGACGGUACCUGAAGAAUAAGCACCGGCUAACUACGUGCCAGCCGCCGGCGUAACAC